GAAGACAUGGAAAUGCUCGGAAACAGUAAGGUCUAUGGAGCUGUGGUACAGAUGAGUUCAGCUUGGUAGCCUCAGAAAAUACAGAAGUUGGACAGCUUUCUGCUGAGACUCAACCUCUGCACAAGGCCUGUCAUUCUGCAAAACCUCAAGUGCUGCCCAGGCCUCCUUGACUGUCACCCGCAACCUGUGCAGCCAGAGCCCGCACACAGCUUUGGAGAUGCACUUGAAGCCCAACACCAGACCGUCCCAUGCUUACAAAUAUACUUGCAGAAGGAAAUCAUUAUAAGGAGAAGCUCACAAAGAAGACAGCAUGGUGC